GGGCCCAUCUCCCCCCCCCAGCAGCACACUCACCCAGCACUGUCACUGCACAUCUCUAGGGGCCAGGCCCCUUUCUGGUCCAGGAAGCCCCCUCGCCUCCUCCGUGGUGGGUGCCGGGGGGGCUGCCAUCCUGUGUGUGCCUCCUCCCUCCACAGGGGGUGGCUGUGCCACAACCUCAUCCUGCCACGCGUGCCCAUCCCUUUUGUAGCCGGCAGCAGCCAGCGAGGGAGCACAGCGCGGUGUGGCAGGGCAACAGCCUGCUGCCCAGGGCACAGGCAGGGACGCUCCGGGGGGAGGCAGGCGGGGCUGAGGGAGAGACCCAACCCCAAACAUUGGUGGAGCCGGCCCCCAGGCCCUGAAUUUGCUGGAUCAUGGGUACCACGGGCCCAUAUAACUCACCGUCCAUGGGUUUAUUUGACCACCUCUGUGGUUGUUUCUUCUAAUUCACCAGACAUACUGUCAUAGGUCAACCAGAGAAAUCACAGGAUUUACCAGGACAGUGCAACUAACAACUCCAAUACACACAGGUGUGUGUGCACCCCAAGCACAGUUGCUGAAAAUUUUCCCCUCAGCGGUACCUGUCGUUAAGGCACCCAGCCAUCUCCUCACCCCCUCUUUCCAGAAAACUACGAUGUAGAGGGCAGGAGAGUGGAUCACAGAAUAGACACGUGCAACACACCUCGAAGAAUGUUACCAGAUUUGCCCGUUACUUUGGGGUCAUUGAGGCCUGAUAUGAAUGACGCAUGCUUGACAUGAAUACGUGCAUUGAAAGUUGGCAACUGAAGCAAGAACUUAAGGUCAAGGACGAUUGGAACUAUUUGGGCAAAAACAAUCUUAUGUUCCAAGAAAAAUACAGAAAAUCAUCAGAAAAGGAAACAACACCAGCUGGACUGAAAUAAAAUUGUAUAAGAAUUGGAGGAAAUGGCACGCCUUGGAUCAUGGCAGCCUGCCAAGGAUUAUGUCUUCGGAAUUGUGUGGGUAGAAGGACUAGUAAACAAAGGCAAAGAACGGAUGACGCAAUGGAAUGCACUAUAAAUGGUUUCCUAUGAUUUUUACAAAUCGGAAUUGUUUAUUGAUCCAGAGCCCCAUGUGGAUAUAGAUGUGUUUUUUGCCGGCUCUCUGCAUCUUAUGAUCUUAUCCUGAUGGAAGGAACCUCAGCUGACCAUCGGGACCAUUCUGACCUUUGGACUCUGGCAUAGUAUGUUUGGAGUGUGAAUGUGGAGUGAGAAAGGUUUGUUUUGUAAUCAGUAAAGAGCAUUUAGAGUAUUAUAUACCAACACUGCAUCCACUAUCUACUUCCUUCCCAUCCUGUAGGGAGACCUCUACAGCGGGUCUAACACAAGGUCGUCCGCCUAAGAACGCUGCCUUGGCUGCAGAAUGGGCGACUGUAUCCUAGAAAGCAGUGGCUCUGAAAAGGAUUUAGGGGUCACAGUUGAUAGACAUCUGAACAUGAGCCCCCAGUGUGAUCCUGCAGCAAAAAGGGCUAUUGUGAUGUUUGGAUGUAUAAUCAGAGUAAUAAGUAGGACGAGAGCGAUUUUACUCCUGUGUACCACAUUGGUGAGACUGAUACUAUAAUACUGUGUACAGUUCUUGUAAUCACAUUUUACAAAUCAUGUUGAAACACUGGAGAGGGUACAGAGAGGAGCCACAAAAUGAUCACAGGGCUAGACAAAAUACCUCACAGUGAAGGACUUAGAGCUCAAUGUCUUCAGCUUCUCAAAAAGAAGAUUCAGAGGUGCGGUGAUUUGAUUACAAUUUAAACGCCUUUACGGGGAGAAAAUGCUGGGCCCUAGAGGGCUGUUUAAUGUAAUGGAGGAAGAGCCACUGCCAAGGACUGCAAAAUGAAGCAAAACAAAUUUGAAUUAGGAAUAAAUUCCCAAAUUUUAAAGGUGAGGGUGAUUAAUCACUGGAACAAACUUCUGAGGGAAGUGGUGGAUCUCUUUCUCUUGAUGUCUUCAGAUCAAGGCUGGAUGCCUUUCUAGGUGUUCUUUAGGCAAACAUAAGUUAUUGGCAAAAAGAACAAGAGGACUUGUGGCACCUUAGAGACUAACAAAUUUAUUAAUCCAUCAUGCAUCCGAUGAAGUGAGCUGUAGCUCACGAAAGCUUAUGCUCAAAUAAAUGUGUUAGUCUCUAAGGUGCCACAAGUCCUCCUGUUCUUUUUGCAGAUACAGACUAACACGGCUGCUACUCUGAUGUACGUUAUUGGGUAGCUGGGUGAAAUGUAAUAGCCUGUGAUAUACAGGAGAUCAGAUUAGAUUAUCUCAUAUAUAGAUAUAUAACCCUAUGGAACUCAUUUCCACUAGAUAGCAUGGAGACUUGGACCUCAUGGAAUUUUGAAAAAGGAUCAGAUAGAAACAUAGAUAAUGAGAACCUCCAGAGUUACACUAGCUGAACUAAUACAUAAUAUAUAUAUGAGGAAUCUGUUUCAGGGCACAAACCAACAACUGGUUGACUGGAUUAGGCGGAAAUUUUUGCUAGGGACAGAUUUUGCCAUAAUUGUCCACUAUGGGGUUUCCUGCAUGAUCCAACCAAGCGUGUAAUGCUGGCUGCUGUCGGACACAGGACUAGCUGAACAAUUGGUCUGCUCUGAUGUAGCUAUUGGGACUGAACAACAUCAUGGCAGUUGAUGAAAGAAGAAAGAGUUGAUUUUGCAGAUAGGUAAAAGAAAAGGGGCUCAGAUCCCAGACUCCUCCCAGUGAGAGGGAGUGAGCAGGCAGCUGAACAAAAACGGAUCCCCUUAGAAAUUCUUCAGGAACCAGGGAUUUACUCCCACAACCUUCCAGAGAAAAAGCAAUGUGUUCCCUAGUACUAGGAGCCAUGCGGGUGUUUUUGUUGUGAGCUACAAUGUCACAACAGUCCCCAGCACCACCAAAGAAAUUCACAAACUCACUGUUUCAUAAUAAGCACACCCACUUUCACUGGGGCAUUCAUGUUUAAUUAAUAGCACACACAGUAAUAGUGUAAAGUAGUGCUACUUUUGUUAAAUCAAUCUAUUGAGAAAUUUUAAAAAAGGCAUCUCUUCAUUGAUCUGUAACCGCUUCCCCUUAAUGCCUCACACUUCUGGGACACUGUCCUCCAUCCUUAUGAAAUCCAGUCACUUUGAGGCCCCAUUCCCAUUACAGCUAGAAAUGUGAUCUUGUAAGUCGUUUGAGGCAGUUGCUGGUUAAGUUUGUCAUCAGUUAAUGAGACCUCAGAGAACUCAGCUCAAUCACUUUAUUGAUUAGCACUAAAACAGCAUAAUACAGAAAGGUCAGACAUUACCAGUACAGCAAACAGUCUUCCAGUGACUGUAGUUUACAUAUUUCUUGUGUUGAUAAUCAACCAAUAAUUUUUCAAUAAUUAAUAAAUGAAUAGCUAAUAAUGGAUAGGAAUUUUAACUGUGAUAUGUUUAAUGAAUAGCCUUCUCUUAAAUUUAGAUUUGGUUAACAAGUCAGCUUUGAAUGUAUUUAUUAAACAGUCAAGACAGCACAUACAGAGAGGCAUACAAUUAUCCACAGCUGUGGAAGGCCUUCUCUAUAGCUUCAGAUAGUCCGGAUCCUGUCUGCCAAUGGUCUUACUUCCUUAUGAUUUCUUGUGGUAGUUUUACCCUGGUAACUUUUCUUUUCAACUGCCUAAAUGGACCAUCUUGAUUAUCACUACAAAAGGUUUUUUCUCCUGCUGAUAUAUCUCUUCUUACUAUAUGUUCCAUUCUAUGCAUCUGAUGAAGUGGCCUGUAGCCCACAAAAGCUUAUGCUCAAAUAAAUUUGUUAGUCUCUAAGGUGCCACAAGUACUCCUGUUCUUUUUGCGAAUACAGACUAACACGGCUGCUACUUAGAAACUUUUCUUAGUUCAACAUUCCAACCCUUAUUUAUUGCCUCCUUCUGGUGUAUAGUUCUCCAUAUCUUAGGCGUUGUCUACACUACGGGGGUAUCAAUGUAUGGUCAAGGUGUGAUCGAUCCUCCGGGGAUCGAUUUAGUGGGGUCUAGUGAAAACCCGCUAAAUUGACGGCCAAUUGCUUUCUCGUUGACUCUGGUACUUCACUGGUACAAGAAGGUAUAAGGUAAGUAGAUGGGAGAGUUUCUCCCAUUUACCCCAGCACGGUGUAGACACCACAAUAAGUUCACUGAAGGCACGUCGACUCCAGCUACAUUAUUCACAUAGCUGGAGUUGCAUAACUUAGGUCAACUUAGUCCCGUAGUGUAGAUCUGCCCUUAAGGCUCUUUCCUCAGUUCCCGCUUCCUUGUAAUUUUCCAAGUGUUUCAACACCAAGUAGUUAAUCAUUGUUUAUGGCUUUUUUUGGACAUUUUUAUUCGUUACAUAUCUUGCAAAUAUGUUGCAGUUAGUACAUUGCAAAAAUAUCUUAUAUAAAAUAUGUCAUAAAAUAUGUCAUCAGUUACUGUAUUGUAAAAUUCCAUUCCUUGCUCGAUAGCUUUAUGUUAAUUGCAAAACAUCAUGGGAAUCUUGUCCCAAAGCAAGCCGUAAAAAUCUUUUCUGACCUAUCUUUAAGUAUCAACAUCUGUGUCUGUUCCAAUUUGUUUAUACCGUCACAUAUACCCCAGUUGUUUACAACCUAGUUACUUCCUUGUUUUGUUCAUACCACUUGCAUGUCCCUUACACAGCAAAACAUUUAGGACUUGCAAUUAAUGGUUAAAACAUCAAUCUCAGUACCUCUCCAUUACUUGUUUCACCAGCAAGCAUAGCAAUCUGUCACACGUAUCCUUUAUACAUUUUGUAUAGCUGCAAAGCCUUAGGGACCUUUAGUUCAUAAGCUAACAAAUCACACUCAGGCUUAACCAGCUGUAAGUUAAAUGGGGCAUUUUCUGUUUUCCAGUUCAUACGCAGCACUCUGCCCAAUUGUGUUUUUAGGAGUAAAUUGUGAAACGUUUUGGGCAGCAAUUCUAUGCAGGAUGAGCAGCAGGUCCCUGUACCAAAGAUUAUGGGUAUUUUUUCAGACAGCAUCAGUGGACUCUGGGAUGCACAGCUCGGGGAGGAAGUAGGACUUGCAUUACCAGUUACACUGGCACAAUUAAGGGUACCUGCCACACAGGAAAAAUCAGUGUGCCUAACCCCUUACAAAAACCAUGGAAUAGACUGAUGCUGGGGAUGGAAGAUCCAGGUGAAGAUGCACUCGUAACACCCCAUGUUGACACACUUAUUCACAGGAAGUUAUGCCACUAUAACCAUACUGGCAAAAUUAUACCAGUAAAACUUCCGGAGUAGAUAAACCCUGAGACAUGUUUAAAAAACACAGUUGCCUCAGUCCAAAUACAGAGGUAAAAUAACCUCUCUGUUCCUAUUCGAGAUUCCCCUGUUUAUGCAUCUUGGGAUUGCAUGAGCUCUUUUGGAGACAGCAUUGUACUGGGAGCUCAUAUUCAGCUGAUUAUCCAUCACAUCCCAAAUCUUUUUCAGAGUCCCAUGUUUCCAGGAUCAAAUCCCCCAUCCUUUAAGUAUGGCCUACGUUCUUCAUUCAUACAUGUAUAUAUUUACAUUUAGCCACAUUAAAAUGCAUAUAGUUUUCUUUUGCCCAGUUUGCAAAGUGAUCCAGUUUACUGUGAAUCAGUGACCUGUCCUCUUCAUUAUUUACCACUCCUCCAAUUUAUGUGUCAUUGAUAAAAAUGUUUCAAAGCAGAGGAUCAAGAACCGAUCUCUGCAGGACCCCACUAGAAACGCACCCGGUCAAUGAGGAUUUCCUGUUUACAGUAACGUUUUGACACAUCUCAGUUCGCCAGGUUUUAAUCCAUUUAUAGAGUGCUAUGUUAAAAUACCCGUGUCUUCACAAUGUGCGGAGGAUGCCAUUUUGUUCUGUAGUGUGUUCAAGGGCUCGAUGAAAUCGUCCCACUGGCACAGCCAGUCAGGAAGUCAUAUUCAGGGCUCACAUGGCAAUGCAUCCAUAGAUGGCAUGCCGCUGCUCAACUUGCAAAAUUCAAUUUCACUCCCCUGAAAUUCCCACUAACCAUCCCCAAAACCCAUUGAAAGAUCAGUUCCUCUCUUCACCAGCUUUGUCCCCCUCCCACAUCUUACUCCCAUAAUCAUAAACAAGGAAAUACUACUAACCCACCCUCCUUAAACCUUGUAUUUUAGAAUAAAUACAAAAGGAGAAAUGUCUCACCAGAAUCAAAAAAGUACCAUUCCAUUAUUUUCUAUUACAAUUGUAGAUCUAUUUAAUCUGAAGCUACAUUUGCUGUAUGGUAUCAGAGGAGUAGCCGUGUUAGUCUGGAUCUGUAAAAGCGGCAAAGAGUCCUGUGGCACCUUAUAGACUAACAGAAGUAUUGGAGCAUAAGCUUUCAUCUGUUAGUCUAUAAGGUACCACAGGACUCUUUGCCGCAUUUGCGGUAUGGGGUUUCUUUUUCAAGUGGAGUUUUGCCAAGUGUUUAACAAGAUUUGAUCGGUCAUUGAAGCUUUUCCCACAUUCAGUACAUUUGUGAGGUCUCUCUCCCCGAUGCACUGACUGAUGCGUGGUAAGGUGGGACUUCUGAAGAAAGAUUUUCCCACAUUCAGUACAUUUGUGAGGCCUCUCUCCCUGGUGUAUUAACUGAUGCUGGGAAAGGGCGAACUUCUGACGAAAGCUUUUCUCACACUGCAUGCAUUUAUAGGGCCGCUCCCCGGUGUGGAUCCUCAUGUGUUUAGUCAGGGUUGAUUUCCGCCCAAAGCUUUGCCCGCAUUCGGUGCAUUUAUAAGGUUUAUCCCCUGUGUGGGUUCUACAGUGACUGGUAAAGUGUCCUCGUAGCCUGAAGCUUUUGUCACAGUCAGGACACUGAUAGGGUCUUUCUUCCCUGUGGAUUCUCUGAUGCAUAGUAAGGUAUGAGUACUCACUGAAGUUUUUCCCACAGUCAGUGCAGCUAUAGUUUUUCUCCUCUUUGUGAGUCCUUUCAUGUCUGCUGAGUAUUGACCUGUACACAAAGCUCUUUCCACAGUCAGCACAUACAUAGGGUCUCUCUCCUGUAUGGUUUUUCUGAUGCCUUCGAAGGUGAGCAUGCUGGUGAUAGCUUUUCCCACAUUCAGCACAGCUGUAACGUUUCUCUUCCAGGUGGAUUUUCUGACGCACCAAGAGGGCUGAGUUGCUACUGAAGCUUUUCUCAUUGUCACCAUUUGUGUUUGUUUGUGCUCCAGUAUGGAUCUCUUGGUGCGUGAUGGUGCUUUUCAAUUUCUUGUAAUCUCUUUCACAUUGAUUAGAUAUAUUGCCUCUUUUGCCUGCAGGGUGUCUCUGCUGCCUUCGUGCCAUGCCCUGACUUCCACAGCCUUCUCCCUGCUCAGGACCUCGGGGUCUCCCCAAGAAUGUCCUCUGUGGUUCUGCUCCGGGAGGCCCUUCCCGCUGGAGAUUCUUAGCUUCAUCUUCACUCAUGAUCCCAUCAUUAAACCCUCUAGGUUCCUCUUCUUUGUGGAUUCUCUGAUGCUGAAUAAGUCUCUCUCUCAGGACAAAUUGUUGGCCACAGUAUGGACACUUAUAGGGUCUCUCCACCUUGUGGACUAUGUAACGAUGAUAUACCAGGAUUGUCUUCUCUCUGAAUCUUUUCCCACACUGAGUACAUUUAUAAGGUUGUUCCAUUCUGUGACUCAUGGAGUGAUCUUUGAGCACUGAACUCCGACUGAAGCUUUUCCCACAUUCUUUACAUUUAUAAGGUCUCUCUCCUUUGUGAGUUCUCAGAUGUAUCUGAAGGUAUUUUUCUUGAGUGAAACUUUUCCUACACUCACUACACUUGUAAGCACUCUUUUCUGCACCAGUUUGAUGAUGCUUAAUAAGGAGAGAGCAGUUAUUGAAACUUUCCCCAAGUUCAGUGCCUGUAUUUGGUCUCUUCCUCAUGAAGUCUCUAUGCUGUGUGCUGGUGUCUUUGGAUUUCCUUAAGCCUGUUUUGCUGCAAGUGGAUUUACUUUGUCUCCAAUCUGGAGGAUCUCCGUGCUGCUGUCUCACCUUGCCCCUACUCUCACGGGCAUCUCCCCACUUAGGGUACUGGGGUCUCCAUGACAACAUCAUGUCUGGCUUUGCUCUCCCAGACCCCUUCUUCUGGGGAUUCUUGUCCCCGUUCUCACUCACGAUUACAUCGUUGAACCCUCUAGAUGCCUUUUUGUUGUGGAUUCUCUGAUGCUGAAUAAAUCUCUCUCUCAGGAUAAAGAGCUGGCUGCAGUCUGGACAUUUAUGGGGUCUCUCCAACUUGUGAACUGUGUAACGGUGAAGAACAAGGCUUGUCUUGUGUCUGAAGCUUUUCUUGCAUUUGUUACAUUUAUAGGGUCUCUCCCCUCUGUGAAUUUUCAGAUGUAUCUGAAGGUAUUCUUCUCGAGUGAAGCUUUUGUCACAUUCACUACACCUAAUGGCACUCUUUUCUACACUAGUCUCCUGACAAUGUUGAAAAAGGAGCGAACUGUUACUGACUCUUUCUCCCAGUUCAUUGAUGGUAUUUGGGGUCAACCCAAUAUGGGUUACCAGGUGGGCGUUGGUGUCUGUGGAUUUCCUCAAACCUCUUUUGCUCUGAGUAGAUUUACUUCUGCCUGGAGAGUCUCCUCUCUGCCGCCCCACUCUGUCCUGACUCUUGCUGGCAUCUGCCCCACCAGGGCCCUGCGGCCUUCCUGAGAACAUCCUGUGCAACUUCACUCCCACAGCCCCUUCCUGCUGGGGACUCUCCUCCUUAUUUUCACUUGCCGUCCCGGUACCUGCUGGGAGAGAGAAUCCAGAUGGGAUUCACUCCAUGCAUUGGAGACAGAGGGGGCGGCAAAGGGAUUAUCAUUGAUAACAGAACCUAAUAGGCAGGAAGUAUAUUCCACCAAGUGGCAGAGGAGGGGCAAGUUCUGCCUCAAAUUCCCUCUGAGCCCUAAGAAAAAGGCUGAGGGAGGAAAAGGCUUCUGCCAGGGGUCAGGCAGAAAGAUGGGAGCCAGGAGGACAGGGCACAACAGUGAGUCAGAUGAGAUGGGACAGAACAGGGGGAGGACUCAGUGGGUUUGCUGGGAUCCCAGCUUUUCCCAGUCCCAGAUAGUUUCCCAGUUGGUGUCACUCAUUCCUCACCUGUUGUAGUGCCUCUUGGGAUUUCCCUUUCCUCAGAUUCCUGGAUAUCUGGGAUCCACAACUCUUCCCCUCGCUCCAUCUGGGACAGCACAUCUGGUUUAGUGAUCGUAAAUCCUGCUCAUUGGAAAGAGGUACAUGCAUCACAACGUCUUAAGUAUUCGUCGAUCACUUAACUACAAAGAACAUUCCAAGAUUUUCUUUGCUGAAGGGGAAAGACAUAAUCCAUAUAGUUUAUAAAAGAUUUGUGUAUCACAUUUUAGCAAGCAGGCUGUAUGGUGGCAAAUGGGCUGUGUUGCUUAUAAAAGAUUUAGGCCAUGUCUACACUACGGGAACGAUAGCAACUCCUCACCUAACGAGAUGAGAGUCUUGUAAUUCUCCUGCAUGACAUCUCUGUAGAGUUCCUUCUGCUUUUCAUCUAAAAGAGCCCAUUCAUCUUCAGAGAAGUACACAGCCACCUCCUCAAACAUCACUGGCAUCUGAAAUGACAUGGGUCUUCCACUCAGCACCUGCCUGGUCUGGCCACAAUCCCACCAUUCAGGCACAAGCUGAGCAGCAAAGGGCAGAGCCAUCACCAUCAAUGCAGCAUUGGAGGAGGGGAAGGAAUCCCAUUUCUCACUAUCCCAUCCUCUUCCACACAGCAAGAGAUGCCAGACUCAGCCUACCCAUCCCCACAGAGCUCUUAGUCCCAAUCCAGGCCACUCAAGCAAGUAACUGGAGCCACAAGGGAGCCCCACUCAGCACAUGCUGUUCCCGCGAAAGUCUCACCACUCAGUCGUGGGAUGUACUGCCAGGAGCUAAUCCUGACUAACUGGAGGGCAUGAAGUGAGUUAUCCAGGAUGUUGGAAAAGCUCCACAUGCACAAGGCACCCCCCAAAGAAAAGGAUGUGAUUAUUUUAUUGAUGGGGAAGAAAAAGUUGGAAAGACCACUGAGUGAUGGAGGAGCCAGGAGGAGGUGGGAGCAAUGAGUGAGGACAGACAAGCAUGGCCCAGCAGGAGAAACAGCGCGGACCGUUUCACAACUCACCAUAAAGUCGAACCUAUGGAGCGAGGCCACCAUAUCCUGGUCUCCUUCAUUCCCCUUAUUGUAAGGAACAAUCAAAUAGGUCGCAGGAAGAUCUAAAGGAUGACAAAGAUACCGUUAGAGCAGUGGUUCUUAACCUUUACUAUAGCUUGCACCCCUUUGGUUCUCAAAAUAUGUUCUCGCACCCCUUAUCAAAAAUCGUUGAAGUAGGUCAGUUCUUUAAACCUAGAUAUAUCAUAACUAUAGAAUGAAAGAGAGAAUUAUAUAUUUAUUUUAAUUUCGCAGUAAUUUUGUUGUUCCAUUUGCGUUUCUUUGACAUGGCAAGGGUUACUGAAAUGAAAAAAUAUUUAUAAAGAUAGGGGGACCUAUGCACUUUUAAAUGCAUAUUAAAUAUAUGUAAAAUAGUUUUAUGUUAUUACUCACCACAAAUAAUAGUACAGUAGGCACA